GAGGAGUUCUGCCCAAUAAGCUUUUCAGCUCCUCGGAGAACACUGUUGCCAUGGUUUCUUCAGGAAAUUUUCAGUACACCAUAUCAUGUGUCCUGAAAGCCUGACACUUGCCUGGAUUUUAAGAUACUGUAGGUUGCUGUUUGCCACUGCCUGAGGACUUCUUCAGACCUGUUAAUUUGGAAAGAUUUACACAGACCGGAACAAGAUCCUAAGGACAAUUUUGGAUGGAAAUCCAUUUAUUCCAUUUAUACUUGAUUUAGUGGCAGAGAUCUAAUCCCAUAGGCAGUGAAGAAUUAUUCUUAUAGGCCUCUACAGAAAAUCACAGAAAUGUCUUUGGAGAAAAUGCAGAAAACUGCAGAAAAUCAAAAGCAUGCUUUAAGCUUGGGGAAUAUAGAAAGCCUUAAAAAGAAGCUCAGACUGGCACUUCUAUCAAAUAAGAAUAUAAAGCUGUAUUACUUAAAGAAGAAAAUAUGAUUCCUGCCUUCAAAUAAAAAUGUCUUUCCAGAGGAACUACUGGAAUAGAAUAGCACACACAGAUUUGUUUUAUUUUGGCAAAAGCCAUCUGUUUGAUCAUACUUUUUAACUCCAUUUUACACGGUCAUAUCUACUCAUUUGUCUGUUUUAUUGAUUUUUUUUUAAAAAAACAUGUUCCUUCUAUCUCCAGAUUUUACUCUAUAAUUGAAGGAUAUAAGGUGCAAUCACCACCACCACCACCACCGCCAUCACCACCACCACCAUCAUCAUGAGAUUCAUUUUAAAAAAGGGCAGUAUAUUUCCAGAUUGCCCUUCUGCCAGUUUGUCUGCUUAUAAUUAUGUGAUGGGGUUUUUUCUUUGUGGAAUUCAUAAGCCAAUUUCUCCCUACAGAGGCUUACAGGCACAUUUCCUGUAUUAAAGGUAUUUGGGGAAGAAAAGGAAGUAAUUAUUACCACCUAUGAACAAGCAAUGGGGGAAAAAGAACAAGGUAGACCAGAAUAAUGUAUCUUCAUUGAAUCAGUAAGUGAAAAAUCAGAAAAAUCCUUUGCCUCAGGGCAACGAAUUAACAGUCUGGUAUCUGGAUGUAUAGGUGGACAUGGUUUACUGAUAGGUUGCAUUUGGUUCAGAUUCAUAUGAGAAAAUAAACUUUGUUCUACAAGGAAGAAUUCUCUACUGCACUGUGGUGCAUAACAGGAUUUUUUUUUUUUUUUUUACUGUGAAAUUCAGGGAUAUAGACAGAAGAAUACCUGUCUUGAAUAAUAUCUCUUUACAAUCUUUUAGUGAGAGAAAGAGAAUAAUAUCUCUUUACAAUCUUUAGUGAAUGUUGACAGGAGAAGGGCUGUUUUUUUGAUUAAUUGAUUUGAAUUUUAGAGAGGUAACCUAUUCUUAUUUGAGAAGACAAAAUUAAAAGUGUUGGGAAACAAUGCUUAUUUUUUAAAAAAAAACUUCAGCAAAUGAAGCUUUUUUUAAAAAAAAUUAUCUUCAUGCUGAAAUACAUACAAGAGAGAAAGCAGAAAUAAACAUUAAAUUUACACAACAGAAUCUAGUAAUCAGUAGCAUACAAAGAGGUAGCUAAGAUAAUUGCCAGCAAAAAAAGUAGUAGCAGGUUUUCUUGGCUCAAAACUAGUUCCUAGGCCAGUAUUCUGUGUUAUAAAUAAAUAGAUUUUUAUAAAUGGAUUGACAUGUGAUCUAAAAUAUCAUCUUAGUUAUUUCUUCAUUGUAAUAUCACAGCAGUUUGGUGAUAUGUAUAUUGAGCUAAGAAGGCUCAAACCUGGACAGUAUCUCAGUGGAAGCUACCAGAUAAUAAUCCCUGGAUUAUUGGCUGGACUGAGAUAUUGAAAAAUAUCCAGGAAGAAUGCAGUGGCAAACCACUUGCCCCCUGUUGGCAGUUAAAUGACAUGGAUGUGUCCAGGUGGUCUUCAACUGAGAUCAAUUCAAGAAAGAUUUUAUGUACUCAUUGUAAUAGAUUCUUAACUGUCUAGACCCUAUAUCCUAGAUUAGGCAAAGUCCUGUCUUUAAACCUUCUGUGAUUUUGGGUCUUCUUCCCUGCCAAUUAAAGAUGAGUACAGAAUCAAUAGACUGAUCUUUCUACCAGCCAUCCACUUUAGAGCUAACCACAGCGGAAGCUCUCUGUACACAUUCCAAGAUACUGAAAGUAUGCCAUCCAUAUAUCCCAAAAGGCAGGUUUACUGGAUAUAUGAACAAGCAAAAGAGGAUACAGACAAUUUAAAAGGAGGACAAAUGGGUGGAAAAGGAAGACACAUUAACUGUUUAACUUUCUUGGCAUCUGCUGCAAAAAAUUACAGUGAAAUAACUCCCCCCUCAGUAUUUAGUCCUACUUGUGCAUGAAAUUAUCUUUUCCAGCAUUAGAAAGACUGUUUUUUUAAUGUCAAGAAUGUACUAGAGUAGGUUAGUAGGCAAAAGCCUUUAAUGUGUAACUGAUUAAAGUCUUGUCAAUUUCAGGCAGCAAGGCAAGCCUACUACAGGGUAUUGAUUAGCUAAUUAAAGUCACAGAGCUGAAUUUGGUAAUUUGGCAUUAGCAUUUAUUAGGGAAGCACUGCACGGUGGAAAAAAACCUACUCAGGAAGACAUACUCAAAAAGUCUAUUAAGACAUAAAGGAGGACAUGAGGUAACCCUGCCCAAAGAGAUGUCUAACAGCUAAUGUUUUGGGUUGGGAUAGGUCAAACAGGUGCGCAUGAUCCUAGUGCAUGCUUCUGCACCAUUUUAUCUCUAUGACCUGUCUACAUAAUCUGGAAUGAAAAGAAUUGUAAAAAGGCCAUCCUUCUUUUCCUUUCUUUUGCUCCUCCUCCUCUUCCUUUCUUUUCUUUUUCUAAUAAAGAAAACAUCACAUUAGUUUACUGAGCCCAAGUAACCUUCAAAUAUAUAUUCCAAUUAGGAAUUUAUCAAUAAGAAUAUAUACUCAAUUGCUUAAAUACUUGUAAUGUCAUUAUAGUAAAGGUAGCACAAAAUCAACUGGUUUCUCUUUUUAUUGUGUAUUGUUUUUUAUUCUGCCUCACCAAUCUCAGUGAGCACCAACCACCACUUUUCCAAAUGCUGGUUUAAUUAAUGCCCAGAAUGAAAUAUAUCUAUAAGCAUGAAUGGACUUCCAGGUUAGUAAGUAUAUGAUAACAAUUCUAAUUAUUUAAAGAAGAGGAGAAAAUACCAUUGUUCCAGACCCACAUUUAUAUUUACAAAGAGAGUUUAUUUUUGCAGCAACAAAGGUCAUGGUUCCAAUAGAUGAGACAAAGCAUCAGCCAAAACAUUCUUUCCCGCGGGGAAGUAUUUUAAAGUAAAGUUAAAAUGAUUAAAGUAUUGUGCCAAUUGGACCUGUUUGGGGGACAACUUUUGAGGGGUCUUCAGUGCCUCUAAAUUUUUAUGAUCAGUCCACACUUCAAAAGGCACUUUGCUCUCUUCAAGGAAGUGGUGCCAAGUUAGCAAUGCCCACCUUACUACGAAAGCCUCCUUCUCCCAAACAGCCUAUUGCCAAGAGAAGUUACUGACUGUUAUCCUUUUAAUGACUGACCAUAGAUUUGAACCUGAAUCUUUUUUUAUCUUUACUAAACACUGUAAUUGCUGUAUUAGCUGGUUCUUAAUAGUAGCUUGUACUGAGCAGAUCUGACUUUGAGCCAAUGAAUACUAAUAUUUUCAUCAAUCAAACAGAAUGUAUAAGAUUAACUUUAUUCACUCAGCUAUCAGGGGGAGAGGGGGGCUCUUAUCUGCCAUGACUUUAAGUUAUCUAUGGUAAUUCCUCAGGCACAUAUAUUUCUACUUCCAGAAAGCAAUCAGAAGUUGAAUGCGCUUGAUAUGUAGUAGAUUUUCUGGUGCAAUCUAAAGUUAAAUAAUGUAAUCUUACUGUAAUUUUCCUGCUUCAGAAUCCUAGAAAAAAGGCAUUCUAAGAAAGUAAAUGAGUUGACCCAAAGGAGGAAAAUGUCUAUAUAUAGAAGUCAGUAAAAAAUAUUAUUCUAGCUUCAUUUUUAUUUCUCAUGUUUUCCAUGUAUGGAAAUUAUUUUUGUGAAAAACACCCUCUUUGAUUACAGUUGUAAAUAACAUCACAGGAUGUUUUAAAACCACAUUAUGAAUUGUUUGUUGACAUAAAUUUGUAUAGAGUUUCUGAAGAAUUAUCUCAAAUUUUAUAGUAUUGAUGUUUUAUGAUGUUUAUAGUAUUGAUAGCUUUGACAUAGUGCCUGACAUAGUAUAGUGGCUUUGAAAAUGCAGCUGAUUAAAUGGUAACAAAACUUAAGUCUGGUAUUAAGUGACAACUCAUUCUGGCUGGGAUUAAAUUCUAACAAAAUUAUUAGAAUUAUUUUCUGUUAUUAACAGAAAACUGAGAAAAAUCCAUAGUCAACAAGACAACUAAUGACAAAAUUCAUUAAAAUACAUAUUGCAUAGAAUAAGAAAAAGGAACAUAAAAGGGGUGAUGAAGAAUGAGUUUUCAUGAGAAGAAUCUAUGAGAAAUGACAUUAGAAGCAGAGGAUAAUCAGAGUUGAAGAAAAUAAAAUAAAAACAAGAAAGAUGAUUAAAAGGUAGGAAAAAGUUAGUUGAAAAUGAAAAGCAGAAGUCUCAUCCAACUAUGUGUACUGGAGAAAAAAAGAAAGACCACAAAAGAACAGAAUUAUGUAUAGUAUGGAUAGGAAGUCAUAUAAUUAGGACAGAAAAAAGGGGAAGUAGAAUGUACAAUGUAGAGCAGGUGUAUCCAACCUUUUGGCUUGCUUGGGCUGCAUUGAGUGAAGAGGAAUUAUUUUGGGCCACAUAUAAAAUACAUAAUAUAGUUAAUAUAUAUAAAUAACAAACUUCCUUUAUUUAGGGGGGUGUCUUGUGGAGUCACUUUACUCGUUGUCCAGGGCUGCAUGUUGCCUGUGGGCCAUGGGUUGGAUACACCUGAUCUAGGGGAUGGGAAGAAAAAACUUUCCAUUUAUGCUUACAGAAGACCUCUGCAGAGCUCGUACCUACAAAGAAUCAGUCUAUUGGAGGGAGGGAAGGAAAGAGAGAGAGAUAAAGAGCUAAAUCAUAAAUAAUCAAUUGAUUUAAGCUGGAACUAACUUGCAGUAAUUCUGCUGAAAACAUCAGGGAAUUUAUAAUACAGCUGCCAUUGAAAGCCAUCUCACUUAUGAAGUUGAAAUUACAUUCAUUUUAGAUUAGAACUUGUUUUGGAUUUAACUUUCAACUUUUUCCUUUUGUUUAAAAAUCCAGUUUGAAGAUUCUUUUUUUAAAAAAUUCCAGGGGAAACCAUAAGAUAUGAUCUUGCAGGUUACCCAAAUAAUUUAGCUUCAGAUGACUCACAUCCAUAAUCCAACACAUGCUUUAAGAGUUCAAGAACUAACGGAUCAGAGCCUUGUGGCUGAAAGUUGCAAGGUGCUUUUCCAGGGAUAAGUAGUGAUUAUAUGCUAUAUAUACCCCAAAAAAUCAAAAGGAGCUAAUAUUGAACUGUUCAGGAUGCAUUUUCUUGGAUCAAGCUAGUUUGUGUUAUGUCAUUUAUUGUUUUGUUUUCUGCUAUUGAAAGUUCAUCUAACAUAAGAAAUGGUCACAUAAAAAAGCAGAUCCAAA